GCUGCCCUGCCGCGUGCGUGACGUCUCAGAAAGUUUUGAGCCUACACUUACCAUUAGGGGAGCCCAACUCCUUUGCCGGGACGCCUGCUGCUGAUGCCUUCACCGGUUCUUCCCGAUCCCUUAACAGGGUCGGGAUAACAGUAGCGACGCGAGGGUGAGAAGCGGCACCCACCUGCGAAUAGCGGGUUCAACAACUUGACGAUGCACGGCGUAGCGGGGCAUUU
rnacentral:other from 1 species